AAUUAGUUCAAGGGUUGUGCAUUAUUGUUAAGGUGUUUAGCACUGUCUCCACCCACAACCACACACGACUGGCUUUGC
rnacentral:Y_RNA from 1 species